rnacentral:rRNA from 1 species
AGUAUGGAGAGUUUGAUUCUGGCUCAGAGCGAACGUUGGCGAUGCGUCUUAAGCAUGCAA